AUGAAAAGAAAAACUAUAGAGAAGAAAAACCAGGGAACAGGUAGAGGAAAGAUUGAUGUUGAAUCUGAAUUUUGGUUUGGAAGGUUGCAAUUUGAUUCAUUUUGUUUAUAUUUGAAAUUGCAAUUUUGGUUAGUUUUAAAUAUGACUUAUCAGUUUGAGUUAAAUUCUGAGUGUGAUGGCUAUUAG